rnacentral:tRNA from 1 species
GCCCGGUUAGCUCAGUCGGUAGAGCAUCAGACUUUUAAACGUAAUGUGGACAAUGGUGAUCUGAGGGUCAGGGGUUCAAGUCCCCUAUCGGGCG